ACUCAAUUAUUGCAAGUCGAGUCUAGCUCAAACUUCAUUCAGUUUGAAUUAUAAUCAUAACUGUGGGCCUACCAUCAAGCUCAAUUAAGCGCAAUAACCCAUAAGCGCAACUUCUAAAACAAAAGAAAAACAGAGGAAUAGAGUGUCGCAUGAUCGAAAGAGGCGUCAGCGGAAUUGAAUACUGAUAAGCAAAAACACAGCGAGUCUUAUUGGGAUUGUCACUUGAGAAUUAAGUUGUUUACAGAACUAUAGAUCUGUGGAAUCAGAAUGGAACUAGCAGAUUGAGCAUCCAGGUUUUUAUUAACUUUAAUCAGCUUAUCCAUAUUUGGCUUGGACUUCUGGAAAAUGAGAGCAGCUUAGAAGUCUUGUGUUGCUGCUUCACUGCUAAUAUUGACUUGACAAUGUAGCCGGAUAUGUGAAAGCCUUCUUGUGUCAUUCAGUUUUCUACCUUUCAAGCAAACUUUUGAAAUACAAUUGUGAUACCGGUAGUCUUUCCGAAA